rnacentral:rRNA from 1 species
CCUACGGGAGGCAGCAGUGAGGAAUAUUGGUCAAUGGACGAGAGUCUGAACCAGCCAAGUAGCGUGAAGGAUGACUGCCCUAUGGGUUGUAAACUUCUUUUAUAUGGGAAUAAACUGUUCCACGUGUGGGUUUUUGUAUGUACCAUAUGAAUAAGGAUCGGCUAACUCCGUGCCAGCAGCCGCGGUAAUACGGAGGAUUCGAGCGUUAUCCGGAUUUAUUGGGUUUAAAGGUAGCGUAGGUGGAUUGUUAAGUUAGUGGUGAAAGUUUGAGGCUCAACCGUAAAAUUGCAGUUGAAACUGGUAGUCUAGAGUAUAGUAGAGGUGGGCGGAAUGUGUGGUGUAGCGGUGAAAUGCUUAGAUAUCACGAAGAACUCCGAUUGCGAAGGCAGCUUACUGGACUGCAACUGACACUGAGGCACGAAAGUGUGGGUAUCAAACAGGAUUAGAUACCCGGGUAGUC